UAAAGAUGGAGGAGGAAUUUAUAUUUGGUUAGUAGCAAGUGUAAAGGAGAAGGAGAAAACAGGAAAAAGAAGCAGCAUCUGGUGGUGAACAUCUGGGACUAGAUAUUCCAUAGGACCCAUUCCCUGAGGCUGAGAUAUGUGCCAGCUAUCCAGCUGAAUGUGUUUCACCUAAGACGCAGCGCCUGACUCUCUGCUUGUUCUUUGCAUGUCUCUGACUGAGGUAGCUUUUGGUCCACAUGCAUGAACUUAGAAGAGUACUUCUGUUGCUGAGGAAAG